UACAGACAACGUCAAAAAGCAUUCUACACAGUGCUUGGUUCCAAUCUUAUGACCGAUAUCUGUCGCAUCAUGAAGUGUCAGGUGUGGUUUGUUGCGUUAGAGGAUAUUUAGACUACAGACAACGUCCAAAAGCCUUCUACACAGUGCUUGGUUCCAAUCUUAUGACCGAUAUCUGUCGCAUCGUGAAGUGUCAGGUGUGGUUUGUUGCGUUAGAGGAUAUUUAGACUACAGACAACGUCAAAAAGCAUUCUACACAGUGCUCGGUUCCAAUCUUAUGACCGAUAUCUGUCGCAUCAUGAAAUGUCAGGUGUGGUUUGUUGCGUUAGAGGAUAUUUAGACUACAGACAACGUCCAAAAGCCUUCUACACAGUGCUUGGUUCCAAUCUUAUGACCGAUAUCUGUCGCAUCAUGAAAUGUCAGGUGUGGUUUGUUGCGUUAGAGGAUAUUUAGACUACAGACAACGUCCAAAAGCCUUCUACACAGUGCUUGGUUCCAAUCUUAUGACCGAUAUCUGUCGCAUCGUGAAGUGUCAGGUGUGGUUUGUUGCGUUAGAGGAUAUUUAGACUACAGACAACGUCAAAAAGCAUUCUACACAGUGCUCGGUUCCAAUCUUAUGACCGAUAUCUGUCGCAUCAUGAAAUGUCAGGUGUGGUUUGUUGCGUUAGAGGAUAUUUAGACUACAGACAACGUCCAAAAGCCUUCUACACAGUGCUUGGUUCCAAUCUUAUGACCGAUAUCUGUCGCAUCAUGAAAUGUCAGGUGUGGUUUGUUGCGUUAGAGGAUAUUUAGACUACAGACAACGUCCAAAAGCCUUCUACACAGUGCUUGGUUCCAAUCGUAUGACCGAUAUCUGUCGCAUCGUGAAGUGUCAGGUGUGGUUUGUUGCGUUAGAGGAUAUUUAGACUACAGACAACGUCAAAAAGCAUUCUACACAGUGCUCGGUUCCAAUCUUAUGACCGAUAUCUGUCGCAUCAUGAAAUGUCAGGUGUGGUUUGUUGCGUUAGAGGAUAUUUAGACUACAGACAACGUCCAAAAGCCUUCUACACAGUGCUUGGUUCCAAUCUUAUGACCGAUAUCUGUCGCAUCAUGAAAUGUCAGGUGUGGUUUGUUGCGUUCGAGGAUAUUUAGACUACAGACAACGUCCAAAAGCAUUCUACACAGUGCUCGGUUCCAAUCUUAUGACCGAUAUCUGUCGCAUCAUGAAAUGUCAGGUGUGGUUUGUUGCGUUAGAGGAUAUUUAG